rnacentral:lncRNA from 1 species
AGAUAAAUGUAUUGUAAAUUGGAAUGCAAAUAUAUUUUACUGAGUUAGUACAACCAAAUAUAGUGUGAUCAGAGGUAUAAGUUCAUGAAUCUAUCAAAAACAUUGUGACAUUUUCCAAUCAAAAUGAAUGUUAAAAACAAUUUGAAACAUUAUCCAAAAACAAUGAACAUUACACACAAUGUUGCCUUAACCAAUAACAAUGAAUGUAACAAACAAUUGUUUCAUUAGAAUGGUAAAUAUACAACCAGCUCUUACAAAAAAGCAAACUGAUCGUGCAGGACCCUCAUGGGAAGUAAAGGUUGUAAAAACUUCCCUCGUCAACAAAAAAGGUUGUUUGAAGAUAUAUAGAUAGGGAAAUAUCUUGUCAUUCUGGGCAGCAACUGAACAAUAUAAAAUAGUAAUAUGUAAACCAUGAAAAAAUAUUUAAUUGUUUGGCUUUUUGUUUAAAUUUGAAAAUUUUGGCAUUUAUUAUAUUUUUAUUUUUUGAGAGAUAUCUUCUCUUAUUUUAUUUCAGAAUCUAUGCAUGAUGUAGCUUAAUAUCAAGUAAAAAUAAAUUUUUUGAAUCAAUGUUGACAAUUUCUGAUCCUGGUUAGCAGGUUGUGGUAUCUUUUCAGAUUCUAUGAAAAAUUUCAGGUUACUUGCACAAACAUUGACCUUUGGUAUACUUGUUUACAGUACACACCACUGGACGUUAAAAAACAUUCAUUUUUUCAUCUGAAGCACAAAUUUUACAAGAAUUUAAAAAAAAAAAAUCCAUGCCUCUCUUUCAGAAAAUUACAAUGCCCAUAUUUCUUCUUUUGGGCUAAAGUCAAAUGUGUAUGGAUCAAUUGCUGGAGCCUUAAAUCAAUUCAGACAUUUAUAAUUUUGGACCAUUUGUUUCGUGAUGUGUUUGUUUCUUUUGUGGUAUACACUUUAAAUCAUUUCUAUAAUCAGUAGAUAUAGUUUAAAACUCAAAUGAUAAAAUAGUUUAACUAGAAUUAUAAGGAUGUUAUAUCCCCUGAAGAUGAGGGUCCCAAGGCAGUCACUUAAUAGUACAUUAUGAAAAUCUUUGAAUACACAAAUAAAAAAAGACAUUAUCUGUCAUCCUACAGUUGUUUUUUAUAAGUUUUCCUUUUCAGUUACAUGAUCCUAAUGAAACUACCCCGUUAUUCAUCGAACAAGAAGUCAUUAUAUUUUAAAUAGGACAUGUCAUAAAUACAACAAAAAUGCUGUUAUAAAACUUGUCAUUUAUCAUGUUUAAAAAUACAUAUUAUUAGUCAUCUGUUAGUUUCCACUUUUUAUCACUUAAUU